rnacentral:rRNA from 1 species
UACGAAGGGGGGCUAGCGUUAUCCGGAUUCACUGGGUUUAAAGGGUGCGUAGGAGGGCAGGUAAGUCAGUGGUGAAAUCUCCAAGCUUAACUUGGAACUGCCGUUGAUACUAUCUGUCUUGAAUAUUGUGGAGGUGAGCGGAAUAUGUCAUGUAGCGGUGAAAUGCUUAGAUAUGACAUAGAACACCAAUUGCGAAGGCAGCUCACUACUCAAUCAUUGACUCUGAGGCACGAAAGCGUGGGGAUCAAACAGG